ensembl:snRNA U7 U7 small nuclear RNA
CAGUGUUACAGCUCUUUUAGAAUUUGUCUAGCAGGUGUUGCGAUUUUUGCGGGAAAGCCCCU